rnacentral:rRNA from 1 species
GACACGCUGGCGGCGUGCUUAAUACAUGCAAGUCGAGCGAGGCCUUGGAAUUGGAGUCCUUCGGGAUGAAGAGUCCUUGGCCUAGCGGCGGACGGGUGAGUAACGCGUGGGCAACCUACCCCAAAGUCCGGGAUAACAGUGGGAAACCGCUGCUAAUACCGGAUGGCUUUACCUGAGGGCAUCCUUGGGUAAAGAAAGGUUACGCUUUGGGAUGGGCCCGCGUCCCAUUAGCUAGUUGGUGAGGUAACGGCUCACCAAGGCCACGAUGGGUAGCCGGCCUGAGAGGGUGAACGGCCACACUGGGACUGAGACACGGCCCAGACUCCUACGGGAGGCAGCAGUAGGGAAUAUUGCGCAAUGGGCGGAAGCCUGACGCAGCGACGCCGCGUGAGCGAAGAAGGCCUUCGGGUCGUAAAGCUCUGUCCUUGGGGAAGAAGGCGAAAGCUUGACGGUACCCAAGAAGAAAGCCCCGGCUAACUACGUG